UACAGAGGGUGCGAGCGUUAAUCGGAUUUACUGGGCGUAAAGAGCGCGCAGGCGGUCGUUCAAGUCGAGUGUGAAAGCCCCCGGCUCAACUGGGGAGGGUCACUCGAUACUGAUCGACUCGAAGGCAGAAGAGGGAAGCGGAAUUCCCGGUGUAGUGGUGAAAUGCGUAGUUAUCGGGAGGAACACCAGUGGCGAAGGCGGCUUUCUGGUCUGCUCUUGACGCUGAGGCGCGAAAGCGUGGGGAGCAAACAGG
rnacentral:rRNA from 1 species